CCUACGGGGGGCAGCAGUGGGGAAUAUUGCACAAUGGGCGCAGGCCUGAUGCAGCCAUGCCGCGUGUGUGAAGAAGGCCUUCGGGUUGUAAAGCACUUUCAGCGGGGAGGAAGGCGGUGAGGUUAAUAACCUCAUCGAUUGACGUUACCCGCAGAAGAAGCACCGGCUAACUCCGUGCCAGCAGCCGCGGUAAUACGGAGGGUGCAAGCGUUAAUCGGAAUUACUGGGCGUAAAGCGCACGCAGGCGGUCUGUCAAGUCGGAUGUGAAAUCCCCGGGCUCAACCUGGGAACUGCAUUCGAAACGGGCAGGCUAGAGUCUUGUAGAGGGGGGUAGAAUUCCAGGUGUAGCGGUGAAAUGCGUAGAGAUCUGGAGGAAUACCGGUGGCGAAGGCGGCCCCCUGGACAAAGACUGACGCUCAGGUGCGAAAGCGUGGGGAGCAAACAGGAUUAGAUACCCUUGUAGUC
rnacentral:rRNA from 1 species